GACGAACGCUGGCGGCGUGCCUAAUACAUGCAAGUAGAACGCUGAAGAGAGGAGCUUACUCUUCUUGGAUGAGUUGCGAACGGGUGAGUAACGCGUAGGUAACCUGCCUUGUAGCGGGGGAUAACUAUUGGAAACGAUAGCUAAUACCGCAUAACAAUGGAUGACACAUGUCAUUUAUUUGAAAGGGGCAAUUGCUCCACUACAAGGUGGACCUGCGUUGUAUUAGCUAGUAGGUGAGGUAAUGGCUCACCUAGGCGACGAUACAUAGCCGACCUGAGAGGGUGAGCGGCCACACUGGGACUGAGACACGGCCCAGACGCCUACGGGAGGCAGCAGUAGGGAAUCGUCGGCAAUGGGGGCAACACUGACCGAGCAACGCCGCGUGAGUGAAGAAGGUUUUCGGAUCGUAAAGCUCUGUUGUAAGUCAAGAACGGGUGUGAGAGUGGAAAGUUCACACUGUGACGGUAGCUUACCAGAAAGGGACGGCUAACUACGUG
rnacentral:rRNA from 1 species